rnacentral:rRNA from 1 species
UACGUAGGGUGCGAGCGUUGUCCGGAAUUAUUGGGCGUAAAGAGCUUGUAGGCGGUUUGUCGCGUCUGCUGUGAAAAUCCGGGGCUCAACCCCGGACUUGCAGUGGGUACGGGCAGACUAGAGUGUGGUAGGGGAGACUGGAAUUCCUGGUGUAGCGGUGAAAUGCGCAGAUAUCAGGAGGAACACCAGCGGCGAAGGCGGCGCUCUGGGCCGGUACUGACGCUGAGGAGCGAAAGCUAGGGGAGCAAACGGG